CGCAAAGCGCCCCCAUAAAUAGCCGAUCCCGGCCGGGGCUGCAGAAAGGAUCACUAACUCGCGCAUGACCAUAUGGCUGAGAAAAUGGACCCGACGCUGGAGCCAAGUCUAACUCCAGAGCCGUCGCCCCAAAUCCCCAAAUCGGACAUUGUCCCCGGAGUGACAGCUCAGGCGAGCCGGAGGCCGCGUGGCUCGCGGAGCCAACCCGCUGCUGCGAGUUCCCGCGACCCUUCUGAGCCUCUUCCUCCUCAUCUAACCGGGAGAAAAACACCUCCCUCGGGGGCUUUGGCUGUUUGAAGUGAAGUCACAGGAUCUGUGCUGUUUGUGACACUCUUGUUUUCACUUGGCUCCCCCCUUGGACGACGGUUCCCUGUGGAGAUACAGAGAUGACCUCCUCUGUCUCGGUGAUGAACGCGCCCCACGGCCCUUAGAGCCCCUUUUCACCAUUGCGGGUAUAAAUAAAGCUGCACUGGCUGUGA